GACGAACGCUGGCGGCGUGCUUAACACAUGCAAGUCGAACGGAAAGGCCCUGCUUUUGUGGGGUGCUCGAGUGGCGAACGGGUGAGUAACACGUGAGUAACCUGCCCUUGACUUUGGGAUAACUUCAGGAAACUGGGGCUAAUACCGGAUAGGAGCUCCUGCUGCAUGGUGGGGGUUGGAAAGUUUCGGCGGUUGGGGAUGGACUCGCGGCUUAUCAGCUUGUUGGUGGGGUAGUGGCUUACCAAGGCUUUGACGGGUAGCCGGCCUGAGAGGGUGACCGGCCACAUUAGGACUGAGGUACGGCCCAGAAUCCUACGGGAGGCAGCAGUGGGGAAUAUUGCGCAAUGGGCGGAAGCCUGAUGCAGCAACGCCGCGUGCGGGAUGACGGCCUUCGGGUUGUAAACCGCUUUCGCCUGUGACGAAGCGUGAGUGACGGUAAUGGGUAAAGAAGCACCGGCUAACUACGUG
rnacentral:rRNA from 1 species